CCAGCAGUCUGUCUGGAUAAACACCAUUUUUAAAAUUAAUGGUCUGGAGGUUUUCUCCUAAGGUUAGAACUCAGUGGCCCAGUGACAGCCUUUGGGAAUUGUGGGAAAGUCCACAUAUGGUACUGGAGACUUGGAGCCUUGUUCUUUGGCCUUUGAGAGUGUGAGUGCAGUGACAUAAGAGGGUGGGAGUCUAGGUCAAAAGGACUUCCUGUUCCCAAAUCUUCUGCGGUCCCAACAGUGUACUCACUCAAAUGAAGGAUUCAUGGCUAAGAGUUAUUAAAAUCAUCGGCAAUCAUCAUCAUCAAAGGAAAAUCUUAAAGGAAACAUAUUUCAGACGCCCUUGCCAUGGAGAAAAACAUGAUAUUGUGUCUUUUAUAGGACUCUUCAGAUGGAGAGAACACAAUUAAGGGCCCUCCAGAUCCGCCUUUUCAGUGGAGAACACAUGACUAAGGACCUUGCAGAGUGCCUUAUCAGGGAUUUAAAAAAUAACUAAUGUAUGACAUGCAGCCUGCCUCAGGAAGAUUCUUAAAGCAGAGAAAAUGUAAUAGGGAAACCUGCAGAGAAACCUUCUAUUGGAGAAAACAUGACAUAGUUUGACUAACAGGGUCUGUUAAGAUGGAGAAAACAUGAUUGUAAACUUCUGAAGUGAAUAUCCGGUGGAAACGAUGAUGUAAAGAGUCACAUAAGCGUUCAUAAAUGCUAUAAAAUGUCUUGGCAGUGUUGACUUCCCACAUGCAGCUGGUGCCCUGACCCUCUGUUGUUAUGACUCAACUCGAGAUAACAGCUGAUCAGGAGUUUACACUUUGUGUUAUAUUUGCUGUUAAUAAUUAAAAUGAGAGCUUAGUGGUUAGAACUGUGUGGCUUGACUCUGGUGUAAGGAUCAGGUUUGUUUAUUUGAUAAAAGUUGCUGUCAUUUUCUGUGUUCAGAGACGGACUAAAACUUUGAAAUCAGACUGAUUAGAAACACUGACUAAAAUGGGAUUAAAACUGAAGUUUUAUUGCCUAAAUCUUUGACCAAAAUCAACCACACUUUUCUGAAAAUGAAUCAAAGUGGAGCUAAUUUCAAAUUCUUGUGAAAACUGACACUGUUACUGACACAUCUUUUAAGAUUGUAUGCGAGCUCUACGGCACACUUAAGCCACGCUUACCGUAUCAGUUUCAUUCAUACUCCAUGCGCAGUCACGUGCAUCGCUCAAAUCCACAAAUAAUGCCUGUGAGUCACACUUAGUCAUACAAAUAUCUUUAUUGAUUUACACUUUUACUUAUUACUCUGUAGAUAUCUGUGCACCAACACUGUUCCCUUCAUGCUUCAGCCUAAUACAACCACAGAAUGAUUUAGGGCUGAUGACUGUGCAACAUUUAGUAUUCUUGUUAUAGACAGCGUACUAGGGACUGGAAAGUGUGUUUUUUAAUGAGAUUUGCAUGUUUCUUUUUUCAUUCUGUUUUUUUCCCCUCAAUGUAUAAUGUCUUUAAUGUAUUUGUGUGUUCAACAAUCUUUUUAACUUCCUUUACUCUCAUUCAUUGUGUUGAAUAGAGUUGUAUAUUUGCUUUUAUUUUGCACUGUCUAUAUUUCGAAGUCCCUUUAUGUUUAACAAGUUUCUUUUAACUGUUACUAUCACCUUAAAAACAGUUUAUAACUUAUUUUAAUAAACGGCAAAACUCAAUAUAAAUAGUUUAAGGUAUUCAUCACUCUAGACCUGCUGGAGAACCUGCAGUGAAAACUUGUGCGGAGGACUUUUAUUUUAUGUAACCUUUUUUUAACCAGGUAAGAAAACCCAUUGAGAUCAAGAUCUCUGUCCAAGAGGUCAACAGCACAAGUCACAAUAAUGAUAAUAAUAGAAUCCAAGGACAAAAUAGGAUGCAGACUGUAUGUGUGUUUCAGUAUCAAAGAAAGGGGUGGACAUGGGAUUAAUAAAAAAUACCUGACUUUAUUUAAGAAAAUCUUUUAACAACAUUUUAAAGGCACAAAUCAUUUCAACAUUUCAAACAAAAUACGGCUCAAACAGCACUGAAACUUAAGAACUAAUCAGCUGGCUUAACAUCAUUUCGCAAAACUAUGAUAUUCAGCGCUAAAAAGACACAAAAGAGCAGCGUUUCAAAACAGCACAUGUCAAGACCUCAAUCGCUACAAGGUAUUUUACUCACAGGGAUGUUUUAAAGAAAUUAACAAAGUUGUUGAAUAUCAUACAAUGAGUCAUCACAUAUGAUGAAACACACACAUACACACACAGCUGUACAUUUAACUUUUCUACAGCAACAUCAGAGAUGAGAACUGCUCUUUUCUUCCAGGAUGGGUCAUCCUCUCUCUCUCCCAGAAUCCUCUCCUCUCUACACCUGCAAGACAAGAUCAUCGAGUUAGCCAGUGCAAGGUAAAAGUCUGAAAACUCUGAGGUACAGAUGCAAGGAUGGUUUUAAAGCUCAUCCCAAAUGAAGGGCAGAUAAACUUUUUCUUCUAUUUUACCUGAUUUCAUUUCCUGUUCUUGCUCAGAUGCUUGAUGUAAUUACGCACCCAUGCUUCCUCACUAAGGUGGGAGAAGCACAGAACCCUUUCAUUCUUUAGGAUGAACCUGAAAAAGCAGAUUAAGGGGGAAAAGUUAGACGAGGCAGCAGAAAACAGGCCACAUUUAACCAGCAAAGCAGAAUACAAUGAAAUUGAGGACUUCUGCUAAGUAAUGAAUGUUAAACAUUUACAAAUGGUUUCUACUCACAAUGUGGCUCCAAUGUCGCAUCCUUCCCCGGCGUUCUGGAUUUUGAAGCUUUGCACUCUUUGUAAUGGGAUGCGCUUUGCAGAAGUCUUCAAGCAGCAGUCCUCAGGAACUUCAGCUGUAAGAUACACAGAAGUGCAUUAAAUUCACCUGCAUUGAAAGCAUCCUGAAGUAUGAAUCUGUUUUACCCCGGAUGCAAUGCAAGAAUGUAUCAUACCUGUCACAAAGAUGACACAGACGACACCCAGCAGGAACAGAGCAGCUACUCGAGAGGCCAUGUCUCAGUUUGUCUGUGGGUCUGAGCUCAGGUGGAAGGUUUCAGCAAGCUUCUUCAGGAGAGUGAAGUGAUGCUCAGGAGAUGAACACAGCCUGUAUUUAUACAACUUUGAAUUGAAAGUGAAAGUUUUCAGCAUCUCUGACUGGAAGUAAGGUUGGCACCAGAUUCACCUGUUCCUGCUUAAUUACCUUUCUCCACGCCUCUUUCUUUUGUGUACCUGCCAAAAUCCACCCACGAGUCUUUUCCAGAAGUCCCCUUGAGGCUGAACUUUAUCAUGGCAUGAAAACUGUUUUUACAUUCCAUAGUGACGGUAGCUGCCUAACUGCACUAUUUUUUCUUUAUCACAAGUUUAAAUCUACAUGCACGUCAUGCUUUAUGUAUUCUGUAAUGUGCCUUUUACUCCAAAAUCGUAUCUGUGUUUCAGUAAAAGUGACAGUUACUGAAGUUAACGUGGAUUGCACAAUUUCACACAAAAGGAAACUGGAAAAAAAAAAAAAGUUUUUAUCUGUUUUGACUCUUAAGUAAUACUUCAAAUUAAAUAAACAAACAACUACAGCUCAUGCUGUAGCUUUGGGCUUUUUUGCAGAAACCUUUGAAGUAUGUGUGUGUGGCGGUUAUCAGUUCAAGUGUAAAGAAGACCUGCAGCCUGGAAAAGAUCACAAUCUGUCAUUGUGGGUGUUGCAGAACAACCGGAUACUCUUCCAGUUAAAGCCCUUGGAAAAGUCCCUUUUCCAAGAGUGAUGCAACAGUUUAAGUCUUUGUGAGGGGCCAUUUAUGUCAGGAUACAUAAAUUAUACCCCUGGACUGUUUCCUUUUGGUCUUCUGUUUCUUGGACUGACCAAUGCUUAACACUGCUGAGGCCCUCAGGAAAGAGGAGAGAUAUUUUCUGAACAUGUAAAGGCCAAGGAUGAAGUGAAAUGGAGUGGUAAUGUAGGGCUUACAGUAUAUUCUGAGGGAAGGAAGAGAACAAAAACACAGUCACGUAUAUCAGACAGUAUCAAAAUAUGGAUGACACAAUAACUACACCAAAGUGAAGCCAAACCAUAGAGCUACAGUACAGGUCUUAAUGCUUAAUAGGAUAUGAGUCAAACUGUUAAACUGCGAUACAUGUCCUGAUGGUUUCCAUUAGUAUGCUACAGUACAUUGAAGCAUUAAGGCCAGGCAUGAUCAAGUAAGUAAUGACAGAAGGAAGGUUUGAUUAUUCAAUUCAUAAAAAGUUGCAGCUUGGGGGGAUAUCAAGUGAAUAUCUUUUAAGACUCUAAAAUUAUGCAAAAGUGUGACAUAAUCUUCAUUUUCACCUUAGAUGUACCUAUUUAAUCAGUCUUUUGAGAUGGCAGCGCUCCCGCCACUGUAGGUUCUGCUGAAUUUGCUAUGUUAGGGCUGAUUUCAAACACCUGAAUAAUGUAUUUUCAUUAGAGCAAACAAAUGCACAUCUAGCUUUCAUUGGUAAGACUGGCACGUUUCUUUCCCCUGCAUGCUGCUGUAGGUAAAGUGGAAUAAGUUCACCAAAGUGACUUGGUCUGGUGUCGCCAUGAUAACAUAACUACUAACCCAUGUGGCUAAGCUUAGCACAAAGACUGGAAACUAGGGCAACAGCUCUCCAAGUGUAACACAAUCCUUGACUAAACUCAGGACAAAGCAAUUCACAACUAACUCAUCAUGUUUUUGCACUGUUUGUCAUUCUGAGAAAUCAUUUAUCUGAAGUUAAGACAAUGCUACCCUUUGGUGCACAUAUUUUUUGAUGAUAUCAACAUUUUCUUUUGGGUUGGGGGGCUUAGGGCUUAGUACAGAUUGUUGGAUUUUUCCUUUGCAACCAAAGGAGAAAUGUAAAUUCAAAGACACGCCUCUUGACGUCAGAUUUAUGUGUUUUGUGGUUCAUAACUCACGCAAAGAAGCACAAAAAUAUAGUUUUCUUCCAUGGAAUAACAGAACAUGACUUUCAAUUAUCUGGAAAUAAUCAGAGUUAUGAGGAAGUGAAAACAAGUCCAUUCAAACCACACUGUUGAAAUACAGCUGAGUAUUGCACAUCCUGACGUCAAACAAUUGUAACACAAACACAGGAUACCCUGACUGAGCUGCUGAGGAGCUGUUCGGCAACAACCUGGCAUGUAAUCUUAGUUACAUCAUCACACACUUAGAAAAGAGAUAUUAGAUUAUAAAUCCUCUCUCGGCUGAACAUGAAGGCAGGAAAAAAUGUCACUUAAAAUCAACAAAUGCACUGCAGAGUUACAGUGCAUCCGGAAAGUACUCAUACCACAUUUUGUUAUGUUACAGCCUUAUUCCAAAAGGGAUUAAAUUCCUUUUUUUUCCCUCAAAAAUUCUACAUAAAAUACCCCAUAAUGACAAAGCAAAAAAAAAAUUUUUUAAACAUUUUGCAAAUGUAUUAAAAAUAAGACACUCAAAUGUUGCAUAUACAUAAGUAUUCACACCCUUUGCUAUAAAACUCAAACUUGAGCUCAGGUGCAUCCUGUUUCCACAGAUCAGCCAUGAAAUGUUUCCUCCAACUUGAUUGCAGUCCAUCUGUGGUAAAUUCAGCUGGUUGGACAUGAUUUGGAAAGCCACACCUGUCUAUAUAAGAUCCCACAGCUGACAGAGCACGUCAGAGCACAAACCAAGCAAUGAAGUCGAAAGAAUUGUCUGUAGACCUCCGAAACAGGGUUGUAUAUGCCACAGAUCUGACAGUCCGCUUGGACUUUGCUAGAAGGCACCUGAAGGUCUCACAGACCGGGAGAAACGAAAUUCUCUGGUCUGAUGAAACAAAGAUUGAACUCUUUGGCCUGGAUGCCAAGCGUCAUGUCUGGAGGAAACCAGGCACCGCUCACCACCUCGCCAAUAUCAUCCCUACAGCGAAGCAUGGUGGUGGCAGCAUCAUGCUGUGGGGAUGUUUUUCAGUGGCAGGAACUGGGAGACUUGUCAGGAUCGAGGGAAAAAUGAAUGCAGCUAAGUACAUCGAGGUGUCUACAUCGAGUACAUGGGGCGACGCUUCAUCUAUCAGCAUGACAAUGACCCUAAGCACACGGCCAAGAAGACGAAGGAGUGGCUUCAGGACAAGUCUCUGAAUGUCCUUGAGUGGCCCAGCCAGAGCCCAGACUUGAACCCAAUUGAACAUCUUUGGAAAGACCUGAAAGUAGCUGUGCACCGACGCUGCCCAUCCAACCUCACUGAGCUUGAGAGGAUGUGUAAGGAAGAAUGGGAAAAACUCCCCAAAUCCAGGUUUGCCAAGCUUGUUGCAUCAUACACAAGAAGACUGGAGGCUGUAAUUGCUGCCAAAGGUGCUUCGAUCAAGUAUUGAGUAAAGGGUGUGAAUACUUAUGUAUAUGCAAUAUUUGAGUGUUCUUAUUUUUAAUACAUUUGCAAAAUGUUCUAAAAAAAGUUUUUUGCUUUGUCAUUAUGGGGUAUUUUGUGUAUAAUUUUUGAGGGAAAAAGGGAACUUUAUCCAUAACAUAACAAAAUGUGGAAAAAGUGAAGUGGUAUGAAUACUUUCCAGAUGCACUGUAAGCUCUUUGAAUUCAGAGGAAUUCAUACUAGACACUGCCGCAGGGCUCUGGGGCAAGCAUUGAGCAACCCGACACUGCCUGAGCACUUACUUGUGUCAACAAACCACUUGAAACAUUUUAAUCUUAGAUUAUUGUGAGAGGUGAUUUUGACUAAUUGUUGUUGUUUUGUCCCUUUUACAUUUAAAAGAGUCAGAAAGUCAAACCUAUAACUGAGUUUUUUCCUCACUCAUCUCCAUCCUUGUUUUGCCCUUGGGCUCUGGUUGUGAUAAACAAGAGUGAAAACUCUCAUUUUGGUGUCUGUUACAGAUAUUCAUGGAAGUUCCUGACAGAUGACAUGCUGGGAACCUCAGUUUUCAGUUUCAAGAUGACUUCAUGAGAAGACCUCUUAUCACAGCUGCAUAUCGCUUAUCCCAGGAAUGCGACAGUGGCCUGUGAAGCUUCUCUGUGGAGAAUACAAACAUACCAACCGAGAUACUGAUCACCAGAUCCAAUCUUUGGAUGAUAAACAUGCAAAGACCUGUGAAAGUCUCUCUGUAAGCGCUUCAUCCAAACCAUUUGCUAUGCUUGAGUUCAAAGGUCAGAUAUUGGUCAAACUGCCAACACUAUCCCCAUCUUUUAUCCCACAUUUGUGAUGCCAGUGGGUGGCCAGAGACCCCAUUUGUGCCCUAAUAAAAUAUCACUUGUCACAGCCUGCUACAUAAAGCAGUAUGAGUCUCUAAACCUCAUUUCUCAAAGGAACAGUGUGAAAAAA